GCAAGUGACAACAAAUUAUUUUUUUAAAAAAAUCUAAAAUAUUGAUUAGAACAAAAAUUAUUCCAAAAGUCAGUUCCAGCUGUUACACCCUGUAUAAUAUACCAGACUUUAUUCCGAUAACCAUAUACUCGUAGUUAUCAAUAUUACCAUAAAUAGAAGUAAAAUAUUGUCGUACUUUAUUGUCACAUAUGGAUACGUUUUGUGUAUUUUAUUCUAAAAUAUAAUAAACAAAAUAUUAAGCGUAAUAUUUAUAGUAAUAUGCUCUUAAUAUAAUAACUAAUAAAUUAAUUCAAAACUCAAAGGCAGCCAAAUGCAUUUGGCAUGUAGAACAAUGACUGUUCAUCGACAUAAUUGUUAUAUGAUUAAUGUUUGGCAUUCAAAUUAUUAUUAUUAUUAUAGAUUUUUUCUGUUUUGUUUCUUCUUGGUAGGAGUUCAAAUCCAACGGCGGCAUGUUGAAGGUUUCAUAGAUGUAACGUGCAUGUAUGUAGUGGCCCCCCAAGUGUGAUGAAAGAGUUAUUAUUGCUAACCGAGAAGGGGAGAUGCUAUAGAUGCCAACGUGCUACUGUAGAACAGUAGGGUCUGAGGCUUCUAUCAAAAACGUUCAUACAAGUACGGCAAGAAAUCAGGAUUUCUAUAAUAUUACUUCUACCUACUACUAUUACUUCGACUAUUGCUACUACUACUACUACUACUACUGUCUCUACUACUGAAAACACUCGCAGAGGAUCCGCUGUGUUCGACCAGUUCGCGGACGACUACAUCAUCGUCGGUUGGCAGCCGAGAACGUUUCGGCGAUUUACUAUUAUAUCAUCAUAAUACAAUAUUGUAUUCUAUAUUUAUACGAAUCAUAUAUUUGUGUACACAUAAAAUAACUAUAUAAUUGUGCUUUUUUUUUAUAAUUAAUCUUUUAUUCUUUUUUUCCGAAAAUAAAGCCACGCACAUUUCGUUUGUA